rnacentral:misc_RNA from 1 species
GAUGAAGAACGUAGCGAAAUGCGAUAAGUAAUGUGAAUUGCAGAAUUCAGUGAAUCAUCGAAUCUUUGAACGCACAUUGCGCCCGCCAGUAUUCUGGCGGGCAUGCCUGUCUGAGCGUCAUUUCAACCCUCAUGCCCCUAGGGCGUGGUGUUGGGGAUCGGCCAAAGCCCGCGAGGGACGGCCGGCCCCUAAAUCUAGUGGCGGACCCGUCGUGGCCUCCUCUGCGAAGUAGUGAUAUUCCGCAUCGGAGAGCGAUGAGCCCCUGCCGUUAAACCCCCAACUUUCCAAGGUUGACCUCAGAUCAGGUAGGAAUACCCGCUGAACUUAAGCAUAUCAAUAAGCGGAGGC